GACGAACGCUGGCGGCGUGCCUAAUACAUGCAAGUAGAACGCACAGUUUAUACCGUAGCUUGCUACACCAUAAACUGUGAGUUGCGAACGGGUGAGUAACGCGUAGGUAACCUGCCUGGUAGCGGGGGAUAACUAUUGGAAACGAUAGCUAAUACCGCAUAAUAUUAAUUAUUGCAUGAUAAUUGAUUGAAAGAUGCAAUUGCAUCACUACCAGAUGGACCUGCGUUGUAUUAGCUAGUAUGUGAGGUAACGGCUCACCUAGGCGACGAUACAUAGCCGACCUGAGAGGGUGAUCGGCCACACUGGGACUGAGACACGGCCCAGACUCCUACGGGAGGCAGCAGUAGGGAAUCUUCGGCAAUGGACGAAAGUCUGACCGAGCAACGCCGCGUGAGUGAAGAAGGUUUUCGGAUCGUAAAGCUCUGUUGUAAGAGAAGAACGGGUGUGAGAGUGGAAAGUUCACACUGUGACGGUAUCUUACCAGAAAGGGACGGCUAACUACGUG
rnacentral:rRNA from 1 species